CCUACGGGAGGCAGCAGUGGGGAAUAUUGGACAAUGGGGGGAACCCUGAUCCAGCGACGCCGCGUGAGUGAAGAAGGAUUUCGGUAUGUAAAGCUCUAUCAGCAGGGAAGAAAAUGACGGUACCUGACUAAGAAGCCCCGGCUAACUACGUGCCAGCAGCCGCGGUAAUACGGAGGGGGCAAGCGUUAUCCGGAUUUACUGGGGGUAAAGGGAGCGUAGACGGUGCAGCAAGUCUGAUGUGAAAGGUCGGGGCCCAACCCCGGGACUGCAUUGGAAACUGUUGAACUGGAGUACAGGAGAGGUAAGCGGAAUUCCUGGUGUAGCGGUGAAAUGCGUAGAUAUUGGGAGGAACACCAGUGGCGAAGGCGGCGUACUGGACUGUAACUGACGUUGAGGCUCGAAAGCGUGGGGAGCGAACAGGAUUAGAUACCCGGGUAGUC
rnacentral:rRNA from 1 species